AUAAAAUAUAAUAGUUUUGUUUGUGGAAACACCACGUAAAUUUACGUGGUGUUUCCACAAACAAAACUAUUUUCUUUUCUUUUUAG